UACGUAGGGUGCAAGCGUUGUCCGGAAUUAUUGGGCGUAAAGAGCUCGUAGGCGGUUUGUCGCGUCGGCUGUGAAAACUCGGGGCUCAACCCCGAGCCUGCAGUCGAUACGGGCAGACUAGAGUGCUGUAGGGGAGACUGGAAUUCCUGGUGUAGCGGUGAAAUGCGCAGAUAUCAGGAGGAGCACCGGUGGCGAAGGCGGGUCUCUGGGCAGUAACUGACGCUGGGGAGCGAAAGCGUGGGGAGCGAACAGG
rnacentral:rRNA from 1 species